GGUAGCACAGAGAGCUUGCUCUCGGGUGACGAGCGGCGGACGGGUGAGUAAUGUCUGGGAAACUGCCUGAUGGAGGGGGAUAACUACUGGAAACGGUAGCUAAUACCGCAUAAUGUCGCAAGACCAAAGUGGGGGACCUUCGGGCCUCAUGCCAUCAGAUGUGCCCAGAUGGGAUUAGCUAGUAGGUGGGGUAAUGGCUCACCUAGGCGACGAUCCCUAGCUGGUCUGAGAGGAUGACCAGCCACACUGGAACUGAGACACGGUCCAGACUCCUACGGGAGGCAGCAGUGGGGAAUAUUGCACAAUGGGCGCAAGCCUGAUGCAGCCAUGCCGCGUGUGUGAAGAAGGCCUUCGGGUUGUAAAGCACUUUCAGCGGGGAGGAAGGCGUUAAGGUUAAUAACCUUGUCGAUUGACGUUACCCGCAGAAGAAGCACCGGCUAACUCCGUGCCAGCAGCCGCGGUAAUACGGAGGGUGCAAGCGUUAAUCGGAAUUACUGGGCGUAAAGCGCACGCAGGCGGUCUGUCAAGUCGGAUGUGAAAUCCCCGGGCUCAACCUGGGAACUGCAUUCGAAACUGGCAGGCUAGAGUCUUGUAGAGGGGGGUAGAAUUCCAGGUGUAGCGGUGAAAUGCGUAGAGAUCUGGAGGAAUACCGGUGGCGAAGGCGGCCCCCUGGACAAAGACUGACGCUCAGGUGCGAAAGCGUGGGGAGCAAACAGGAUUAGAUACCCUGGUAGUCCACGCCGUAAACGAUGUCGAUUUGGAGGUUGUGCCCUUGAGGCGUGGCUUCCGGAGCUAACGCGUUAAAUCGACCGCCUGGGGAGUACGGCCGCAAGGUUAAAACUCAAAUGAAUUGACGGGGGCCCGCACAAGCGGUGGAGCAUGUGGUUUAAUUCGAUGCAACGCGAAGAACCUUACCUGGUCUUGACAUCCACAGAACUUAGCAGAGAUGGUUUGGUGCCUUCGGGAACUGUGAGACAGGUGCUGCAUGGCUGUCGUCAGCUCGUGUUGUGAAAUGUUGGGUUAAGUCCCGCAACGAGCGCAACCCUUAUCCUUUGUUGCCAGCGGUUAGGCCGGGAACUCAAAGGAGACUGCCAGUGAUAAACUGGAGGAAGGUGGGGAUGACGUCAAGUCAUCAUGGCCCUUACGACCAGGGCUACACACGUGCUACAAUGGCAUAUACAAAGAGAAGCGACCUCGCGAGAGCAAGCGGACCUCAUAAAGUAUGUCGUAGUCCGGAUUGGAGUCUGCAACUCGACUCCAUGAAGUCGGAAUCGCUAGUAAUCGUAGAUCAGAAUGCUACGGUGAAUACGUUCCCGGGCCUUGUACACACCGCCCGUCACACCAUGGGAGUGGGUUGCAAAAGAAGUAGGUAGCUUAACC
rnacentral:rRNA from 1 species